GUCUCCAUUGCUUUGGAAGUUACAGUGGAGUGUAUAUAUAUAUAUAUAUAUAUACACACACAC
rnacentral:sRNA from 1 species